UUACUGUGAAAAUUUAGAAACGUCCCCAUUUACUUUCAAGCACAAAUGAGCAUAAUAUCUACAAACUUGUUUGUGACAUGUUCUCUGUACAUACAUAAUAAAGUUGAUAUUAGAUCCCUGGCCUUAAAUUGAUAACACCUGGUCCUGUUUAUAACUUUCCUUGCCAUUAAACUUUCAAAUCUUUUAGGAAAAUAUUUUCCUGAGUGAUUUCCUGAUAGGGACCCUUUUGUCUCCAUUUCUGAAAUUAACACUUUAAUUUUGGAUCUAAUUCCCUACUCU
rnacentral:lncRNA from 1 species